UGCUUUACACAGUGGCAGUAUCGUAGCCAAUGAGGUUAAUCCAAGGUGUGAUUAUUGCUAAUUGAAACUGGUCCAGGGCCAGUUCCCUUUUUUUUUUUUUAAGGUGGACUUACUGCCAUCGCUGGGCUCAGAGUG